rnacentral:rRNA from 1 species
GCCAGACUCCUACGGGAGGCAGCAGUGGGGGAUAUUGCACAAUGGGGGGAACCCUGAUGCAGCGACGCCGCGUGGGUGAAGGAGCGUUUCGGCGCGUAAAGCCCUAUCGGCAGGGAAGAAGGAGGACGGUACCUGACUAAGAAGCCCCGGCUAACUACGUGCCAGCAGCCGCGGUAAUACGUAGGGGGCAAGCGUUAUCCGGAUUUACUGGGUGUAAAGGGGGCGCAGACGGCAGCGCAAGCCAGGAGUGAAAGCCCGGGGCCCAACCCCGGGACUGCUCUUGGAACUGCGCGGCUGGAGUGCAGGAGGGGCAGGCGGAAUUCCUGGUGUAGCGGUGAAAUGCGUAGAUAUCAAGAGGAACACCGGUGGCGAAGGCGGCCUGCUGGACUGCGACUGACGUUGAGGCCCGAAAGCGUGGGGAGCAAACAGGAUUAGAUACCCCAGUAAA